UACGUAGGCAGCAAGCGUUGUUCGGAGUUACUGGGCGUAAAGGGUGUGUAGGCGGUUGGAUAAGUGUGGUGUGAAAUCUCCCGGCUUAACUGGGAGGGUGCGCUACAAACUGUCUGACUAGAGUGUGGGAUGGGUAAGUGGAAUUCCUGGUGUAGCGGUGAAAUGCGUUGAUAUCGGAAGGAACGCCGGUGGCGAAAGCGAUCCGCUGGACCUCUUCUGACGCUGAGGCGCGAAAGCCAGGGGAGCAAACGGG
rnacentral:rRNA from 1 species